GACGAACGCUGGCGGCGUGCUUAACACAUGCAAGUCGAACGAAGAGCGACGGAAGCUUGCUUCUAUCAAUCUUAGUGGCGCACGGGUGAGUAACGCGUAAUCAACCUGCCCUUCAGAGGGGGACAACAGUUGGAAACGACUGCUAAUACCGCAUACGAUCUAACCUCGGCAUCGAGGAUAGAUGAAAGGUGGCCGCUACAUGUAAGCUAUCACUGAAGGAGGGGAUUGCGUCUGAUUAGCUAGUUGGAGGGGUAACGGCCCACCACGGCGAGGAUCAGUAGCCGGUCUGAGAGGAUGAACGGCCACAUUGGGACUGAGACACGGCCCAGACUCCUACGGGAGGCAGCAGUGGGGAAUCUUCCGCAAUGGACGAAAGUCUGACGGAGCAACGCCGCGUGAGUGAUGACGGCCUUCGGGUUGUAAAGCUCGGUUAAUCGGGACGAAAGGCCUUCUUGCGAAUAGUGAGAAGGAUUGACGGUACCGGAAUAGAAAGCCACGGCUAACUACGUG
rnacentral:rRNA from 1 species